CAUGAUGAGCUGUAAUAGCUUGGAUUGUAUAGCAGGUAGUCGCAGUCGCCUACAUUGAAUAAUUUUUUUUAAUGAAAAAAAGACUCGUUUUAAAUGAAUCUUUUUAAACGUUAGGAUUGUUAUGAUUUUAACGAACUGU
rnacentral:sRNA from 12 species